rnacentral:rRNA from 1 species
GAUGAACGCUGGCGGCGUGCCUAAUACAUGCAAGUCGAGCGAACAGACGAGGAGCUUGCUCCUCUGACGUUAGCGGCGGACGGGUGAGUAACACGUGGAUAACCUACCUAUAAGACUGGGAUAACUUCGGGAAACCGGAGCUAAUACCGGAUAAUAUAUUGAACCGCAUGGUUCAAUAGUGAAAGACGGUUUUGCUGUCACUUAUAGAUGGUUCCGCGCCGCAUUAGCUAGUUGGUAAGGUAACGGCUUACCAAGGCAACGAUGCGUAGCCGACCUGAGAGGAUGAUCGGCCACACUGGAACUGAGACACGGUCCAGACUCCUACGGGAGGCAGCAGUAGGGAAUCUUCCGCAAUGGGCGAAAGCCUGACGGAGCAACGCCGCGUGAGUGAUGAAGGUCUUCGGAUCGUAAAACUCUGUUAUUAGGGAAGAACAAAUGUGUAAGUAACUAUGCACGUCUUGACGGUACCUAAUCAGAAAGCCACGGCUAACUACGUG